UACGUAGGUGGCGAGCGUUGUCCGGAUUUACUGGGCGUAAAGAGCUCGUAGGCGGUGUGUCGCGUCGGCCGUGAAAACCUGCAGCUUAACUGUGGGCUUGCGGUCGAUACGGGCAUCACUGGAGUUCGGCAGGGGAGACUGGAAUUCCUGGUGUAGCGGUGAAAUGCGCAGAUAUCAGGAGGAACACCGGUGGCGAAGGCGGGUCUCUGGGCCGAUACUGACGCUGAGGAGCGAAAGCGUGGGGAGCGAACAGG
rnacentral:rRNA from 1 species